GAUGAAGAACGUACCGAAAUGCGAUAAGUAAUGUGAAUUGCAGAAUUCAGUGAAUCAUCGAAUCUUUGAACGCACAUUGCGCCCGCCAGUAUUCUGGCGGGCAUGCCUGUUCGAGCGUCAUUACAACCCUCAGGCCCCCGGGCCUGGCGUUGGGGAUCGGCGGAGCCCCCCGUGGGCACACGCCGUCCCCCAAAUACAGUGGCGGUCCCGCCGCAGCUUCCAUCGCGUAGUAGCUAACACCUCGCGACUGGAGAGCGGCGCGGCCACGCCGUAAAACACCCAACUCUUCUGAAGUUGACCUCGAAUCAGGUAGGAAUACCCGCUGAACUUAAGCAUAUCAAUAAGCGGAGGA
rnacentral:misc_RNA from 1 species